GGGGAUGUUCAAAAUCGAUAGGAUGAUGAGCCCACGCUACUCGAACCGAGCGUUGGUGAUUUGCUCGUAAAUCUCAACCGCCAAUUCAAUAAGUGCCAAAUCACUUGUUGCUAAGGUCAAAGCUGCAUUCAGCUCACUGACUUUAGUACCCGCUUUGGCCUAACAGCGCCAAAGCCAUCAGCCCGGUGACGUCUCAUAGCCGGUCCCUGGUGUCACCCAUGAGACUCGACGAACGGUCCGCCUCGCCCGCGCGUCUAAACUACCGAGGCUGCGGCUGGCAGCAUCUUGUUGGUUUCUAACCUGCCGGCUCAAGACGUGAAACCAACUACGUUCGUAGCGGUAGUUUGAGCUCCAUGCUAGACAGGGGUGUGAGUCCCCUCAUCUCCACCA
rfam:Candidatus Buchananbacteria bacterium RIFCSPHIGHO2_02_FTLL_56_16 rifcsphigho2_02_scaffold_5507, whole genome shotgun sequence.